rnacentral:rRNA from 1 species
UACGUAGGGUGCAAGCGUUAAUCGGAAUUACUGGGCGUAAAGCGUGCGCAGGCGGCUUGUCGCGUCGACUGUGAAAACCCGUGGCUCAACCAUGUGGUCUGCAGUCGAUACGGGCAGGCUAGAAUUCGGUAGGGGAGACUGGAAUUCCUGGUGUAGCGGUGAAAUGCGCAGAUAUCAGGAGGAACACCGGUGGCGAAGGCGGGUCUCUGGGCCGAUAUUGACGCUGAGGAGCGAAAGCGUGGGGAGCGAACAGG